GGGUUGUGAGGUUAAGCGACUAAGCGUACACGGUGGAUGCCCUGGCAGUCAGAGGCGAUGAAGGGCGUGCUAAUCUGCGAUAAGCGCCGGUAAGGUGAUAUGAACCGUUAUAACCGGCGAUACCCGAAUGGGGAAACCCAGUGUGAYUCGUCACACUAUCAUUAACUGAAUCCAUAGGUUAAUGAGGCGAACCGGGGGAACUGAAACAUCUAAGUACCCCGAGGAAAAGAAAUCAACCGAGAUUCCCCCAGUAGCGGCGAGCGAACGGGGAGGAGCCCAGAGCCUGAAUCAGCAUGUGUGUUAGUGGAAGCGUCUGGAAAGGCGCGCGAUACAGGGUGACAGCCCCGUACACAAAAGCGCAUGUGCUGUGAGCUCGAUGAGUAGGGCGGGACACGU
rnacentral:rRNA from 2 species